rnacentral:rRNA from 1 species
UGGCGAACGGGUGAGUAACACGUGGGCAACCUGCCCAAAAGAGGGGGAUAACACUUGGAAACAGGUGCUAAUACCGCAUAACCAUAGUUACCGCAUGGUAACUAUGUAAAAGGUGGCUAUGCUACCGCUUUUGGAUGGGCCCGCGGCGCAUUAGCUAGUUGGUGGGGUAAAGGCUUACCAAGGCAAUGAUGCGUAGCCGAACUGAGAGGUUGACUCGGCCACAUUGGGACUGAGACACGGCCCAAACUCCUACGGAAGGCAGCAG